GAUGAACGCUGGCGGCGUGCCUAAUACAUGCAAGUCGAGCGAACAGACGAGGAGCUUGUUCCUCUGACGUUAGCGGCGGACGGGUGAGUAACACGUGGAUAACCUACCUAUAAGACUGGGAUAACUUCGGGAAACCGGAGCUAAUACCGGAUAAUAUAUUGAACCGCAUGGUUCAAUAGUGAAAGACGGUUUUGCUGUCACUUAUAGCUGAAUCCGCGCCGCAUUAGCUAGUUGGUAAGGUAACGGCUUACCAAGGCGACGAUGCGUAGCCGAGCUGAGAGGGUGAUCGGCCACACUGGAACUGAGACACGGUCCAGACUCCUACGGGAGGCAGCAGUGGGGAAUAUUCGGCAAUGGGCGAAAGCCUGACGGAGCAACGCCGCGUGAGUGAUGAAGGUCUUCGGGUCGUAAAGCUCUGUUGUUGGGGAAGAACAAAUGUGUGAGUAACUAUGGACGUCUUGACGGUACCUAAUGAGAAAGCAACGGCUAACUACGUG
rnacentral:rRNA from 1 species